rfam:Oryctolagus cuniculus chromosome 13, whole genome shotgun sequence.
CCAUCAUUGCCAGAUAGGCCAAGGUGUCCUACAGAAAAAUCUUGGGUUAGACCUACGGGGGUCUGG